GCAGAGUAUCCAGGUCCUUCUCACAGAAUUAAAGACUGUACAGCUGGCAGCCUGUUAUCGAUUACAUUGAUAGUAAAUUUGAGGACUACCUAAAUGCAGAAUCAUGCAUGAACAGACAUCAGAUGCCUGAUAACAGGGUGCAGUGUUGUUUAUCCUUCAUUGCUUCUUCAGGACAUCGACCAUUACGUAACUGAAGACUCCCACCUUCAGGCAGGAUUGCGUAGUACAUGUUUGUAACUACUUCACAUUGCCUUU